GUUGCCAUAGCUCAACGGUAGAGCAACUCACUGUUAAUGAGAAGAAGGAGGUUCGAUUCCUCCUGGCGGCU
rnacentral:tRNA from 1 species